CAGCCGCCGCGGUAAUUCGAAGGGUGCAAGCGUUACUCGGAAUUACUGGGCGUAAAGCGUGCGUAGGUGGUUUGUUAAGUCUGAUGUGAAAGCCCUGGGCUCAACCUGGGAAUUGCAUUGGAUACUGGCAGGCUAGAGUGCGGUAGAGGAUGGCGGAAUUCCCGGUGUAGCAGUGAAAUGCGUAGAGAUCGGGAGGAACAUCUGUGGCGAAGGCGGCCAUCUGGACCAGCACUGACACUGAGGCACGAAAGCGUGGGGAGCAAACAGGAUUAGAUACCCUGGUAGUCCACGCCCUAAACGAUGCGAACUGGAUGUUGGGAGCAAUUAGGCUCUCAGUAUCGAAGCUAACGCGUUAAGUUCGCCGCCUGGGGAGUACGGUCGCAAGACUGAAACUCAAAGGAAUUGACGG
rnacentral:rRNA from 1 species